CAGCAAUAUUUAUAUUCAAAAACAUUAUAGAGGGACAUGUCGCCCAAAAAGUACCUACUAAAAAAUUAAACAAGAUUCCAAAACAUCAGAGAGGGACAGGUCACCAAAACCACAUUCUCAAAGAUCUUGUGAGCACCAACAAAGAACAAUGCCAAUCCCAUGAUUCUAGGUGAAGGCUGGUACAGGAGGAGCAAUUCUACAAAAAUGCAGUCCACAAA